CGGACGGGUGAGUAAUGUCUGGGAAACUGCCUGAUGGAGGGGGAUAACUACUGGAAACGGUAGCUAAUACCGCAUAACGUCGCAAGACCAAAGAGGGGGACCUUCGGGCCUCUUGCCAUCGGAUGCGCCCAGAUGGGAUUAGCCAGUAGGUGGGGUAACGGCUCACCUAGGCGACGAUCCCUAGCUGGUCUGAGAGGAUGACCAGCCACACUGGAACUGAGACACGGUCCAG
rnacentral:rRNA from 1 species